rnacentral:rRNA from 1 species
GCCACUGCUAUUGGGGUUCGGCUAAGCCAUGCGAGUGGAGGGCGUCCCGCAAGGGAUGGCCCCGCAGACGGCUCAGUAACACGUCGUCAACCCACCUCAGGGUGGGGGACAACCUCGGGAAACUGAGGAUAAUCCCCCAUAGGCGGGGGAGGCUAGAAUGCGCCCCCGCUGAAAGCUCAGGCGCCCUAGGACGGGACGGCGGCCUAUCAGGUAGUUGGUGGUGUGACG